rnacentral:rRNA from 1 species
GACGAACGCUGGCGGCGUGCUUAACACAUGCAAGUCGAACGGAAAGGCCCUGCUUUUGCGGGGUGCUCGAGUGGCGAACGGGUGAGUAACACGUGAGUAACCUGCCCUUGACUUUGGGAUAACUUCAGGAAACUGGGGCUAAUACCGGAUAGGAGCUCCUGCUGCAUGGUGGGGGUUGGAAAGUUUCGGCGGUUGGGGAUGGACUCGCGGCUUAUCAGCUUGUUGGUGGGGUAGUGGCUUACCAAGGCUUUGACGGGUAGCCGGCCUGAGAGGGUGACCGGCCACAUUGGGACUGAGAUACGGCCCAGACUCCUACGGGAGGCAGCAGUGGGGAAUAUUGCACAAUGGGCGGAAGCCUGAUGCAGCAACGCCGCGUGCGGGAUGACGGCCUUCGGGUUGUAAACCGCCUUCGCCUGUGACGAAGCGUGAGUGACGGUAAUGGGUAAAGAAGCACCGGCUAACUACGUG